GGAUGAACGCUAGCUACAGGCUUAACACAUGCAAGUCGAGGGGCAGCAUGGUCUUAGCUUGCUAAGACUGAUGGCGACCGGCGCACGGGUGAGUAACACGUAUCCAACCUACCGGUUAUUCCGGGAUAGCCUUUCGAAAGAAAGAUUAAUACCGGAUAGUAUAACGAGAAGGCAUCUUCUUGUUAUUAAAGAAUUUCGAUAACCGAUGGGGAUGCGUUCCAUUAGUUUGUUGGCGGGGUAACGGCCCACCAAGACAUCGAUGGAUAGGGGUUCUGAGAGGAAGGUCCCCCACAUUGGAACUGAGACACGGUCCAAACUCCUACGGGAGGCAGCAGUGAGGAAUAUUGGUCAAUGGACGAGAGUCUGAACCAGCCAAGUAGCGUGAAGGAUGACUGCCCUAUGGGUUGUAAACUUCUUUUAUAUGGGAAUAAAGUGAGCCACGUGUGGCUUUUUGUAUGUACCAUACGAAUAAGGAUCGGCUAACUCCGUGCCAGCAGCCGCGGUAAUACGGAGGAUCCGAGCGUUAUCCGGAUUUAUUGGGUUUAAAGGGAGCGUAGGCGGACUAUUAAGUCAGCUGUGAAAGUUUGCGGCUCAACCGUAAAAUUGCAGUUGAUACUGGUCGUCUUGAGUGCAGUAGAGGUAGGCGGAAUUCGUGGUGUAGCGGUGAAUGCUUAGCUAUCACGAAGAACUCCGAUUGCGAAGGCAGCUUACUGG
rnacentral:rRNA from 1 species